GUGAGGAAUAUUGGUCAAUGGGCGGGAGCCUGAACCAGCCAAGUCGCGUGAAGGAAGAAGGAUCUAUGGUUCGUAAACUUCUUUUGCAGGGGAAUAAAGUGCAGGACGUGUCCUGUUUUGUAUGUACCCUGAGAAUAAGGAUCGGCUAACUCCGUGCCAGCAGCCGCGGUAAUACGGAGGAUCCGAGCGUUAUCCGGAUUUAUUGGGUUUAAAGGGUGCGUAGGUAGUUUGAUAAGUCAGCGGUGAAAGUUUGCAGCUUAACUGUAAAAAUGCCGUUGAAACUGUCGGACUUGAGUGUAAAUGAGGUAGGCGGAAUGCGUGGUGUAGCGGUGAAAUGCAUAGAUAUCACGCAGAACUCCGAUUGCGAAGGCAGCUUACUAAGCUACAACUGACACUGAAGCACGAAAGCGUGGGGAUCAAACAGGAUUAGAUACCCUGGUAGUCC
rnacentral:rRNA from 1 species